rnacentral:rRNA from 1 species
UGAGGAAUUUUGCGCAAUGGGGGAAACCCUGACGCAGCAACGCCGCGUGGGUGAAGAAGGCCUUCGGGUCGUAAAGCCCUGUCAGGUGGGAAGAACGGUCCUUGAGCGAACAGUUUCGGGAUUUGACGGUACCACCAGAGGAAGCACCGGCUAACUCCGUGCCAGCAGCCGCGGUAAUACGGAGGGUGCGAGCGUUGUUCGGAAUCAUUGGGCGUAAAGGGCGUGUAGGCGGCCGGGUAAGUCUGAUGUGAAAGCCCGGGGCUCAACCCUGGAAGUGCAUUGGAGACUGCUCGGCUUGAGUACUGGAGAGGAUGGGGGAAUUCCCGGUGUAGAGGUGAAAUUCGUAGAGAUCGGGAGGAAUACCAGUGGCGAAGGCGCCCAUCUGGACGGAUACUGACGCUGAGACGCGAAAGCGUGGGGAGCAAACAGG